GAGUUCGCUCUCCUCCAGCACCGCAUGCCCGACUGAGGCACGCCGAGUUGCUGUAGCGCUUC
rnacentral:sRNA from 1 species